ACUGGAUAUCAAAAAGAUCCGUGUGAUUUACCUAAAGAGUUGGUUCAUACCAGAUGUGAUUGCAGCAUUCCCAAUUGGCUACAUACUAUUAAUCGCGGAGUUACAAUCCCACAGUGACACCUCCACCUCAGGUUCCAAAGCCAGUAGAAUGGUGCGGAUCCUCAUGUUUGUCCGAAUCAUCAGCCUUGUCAGGCUCCUCAGAGUCUCCAGGCUUGUCCGCUUCUUCAAUGAAGUAGAAAAGGUUUCAAAUGCCAACUUGGAGUAUGUUCAGCUGUUCUUCCGCAUACUGUCUUUGUUUAUGAUGAUGUUUCUGCUGUGCCACUGGAACGGCUGUAUCCAGUACUUUGUCCCGAUGCUGGAGGAGUUCCCUUCUGACUGCUGGGUCAGACAAGAGAA